GACGAACGCUGGCGGCGUGCCUAAUACAUGCAAGUAGAACGCACAGUUUAUACCGUAGCUUGCUACACCAUAGACUGUGAGUUGCGAACGGGUGAGUAACGCGUAGGUAACCUGCCUGGUAGCGGGGGAUAACUAUUGGAAACGAUAGCUAAUACCGCAUAAUAUUAAUUAUUGCAUGAUAAUUAAUUGAAAGGUGCAAUUGCACCACUACCAGAUGGACCUGCGUUGUAUUAGCUAGUAGGUGAGGUAACGGCUCACCUAGGCGACGAUACAUAGCCGACCUGAGAGGGUGAUCGGCCACACUGGGACGGAGACACGGCCCAGACUCCUACGGGAGGCAGCAGUAGGGAAUCUUCGGCAAUGGACGAAAGUCUGACCGAGCAACGCCGCGUGAGUGAAGAAGGUUUUCGGAUCGGAAAGCUCUGUUGUAAGGGAAGAACGGGUGUGAGAGUGGAAAGUUCACACUGUGACGGUAUCUUACCAGAAAGGGACGGCUAACUACGUG
rnacentral:rRNA from 1 species